AACAAGCCGGGAUAGCUCAGUUGGUAGAGCAGAGGACUGAAAAUCCUCGUGUCACCAG
rnacentral:tRNA from 1 species